UCCAUCUUCUUUCCUUCCCCGAUCCCUAACGCCCUCCGCCUUCUCUCGAUCUUUCUUCUUCUUUCCCAUCUCGCGGACAUCCUCUUCUCCUCUCUCGAUUUAGCCAUUGAUCCACCACCGCAUCGCCAUUUCUCCCGAUUGCAUCGACAGUCUCAGCUUCGACUCAUGCCCGCACCUGAUCGCUGGUGCCAUGUCGUGAGCCGAGUCCCCGAUCUUCUCCACUCCUUAUCAGAGGUCUCAUCUAUAGUAUUCUCCUUCAAAACGUCACUUCGCGCAAGGGACCUUCGGUUGGGUGAGGAGAUCUGAGCUUCGGUGACGUUGGAGUUGAAUCGCAUGUUCCAUUGCUCGAUCUUGGUUGAAGACUUGCGCUCUAAGCGGCUGCCUCACCUUUCCGAGCCCUAGAGCCGAGCUGAGUUCGUCGGAUUUCCCUACGCUGUGGUGGUGGUUUCUGUCAUCGAGGUAGGUUGAGGUAUGGUAGUUCGUUUUGAGUCUUGUAGCUGUGGGGAUCUGGGAUUUGAUGCCAGGAUGGGAGAUUAGGUUAACAGGGAGUAGUUCUUGGCAGUGGCUCACCGUAAAGGACUCAGCCACAAAUUUCCAACAGCAAAUUUCACCAGCGGGCAUUCCCAGUAGUUGUUCUCCGGUCGUGAACCACUAGCUUUAUAAGAAGCUCCAGUUGUGGAUCUUGGCAGCAGACAUCACCCAGUGGGCUUGUGCCAGCGAUUUCACCUCCUGACAGUGGGUCAACAGAGGGCUUUAAUUGAAGCGGGCAUCGUGACGAAGGCGGCAUAGGUUUCGAACUACAUUUAGAGGCAGGUAAUUCUUACUUUAUCUCUUUAGUACAUUGAUCUUAAUGCAUGAGCUAUAUUUUCGGAUAGUUCCUGUAUUUACCUUGGCUCCAGUCGUAUUUUUUUGUGCUUGAAGCUUAUCUACUUGAUCUUUGAGUUAAUCGAUUUGAUGUCUAUGCAGUCUCUCGUUGUUAUUCGUGAUAUUUAGUAGAUACUAUAUUACUAGAUACCAAACACUAGAUAGUAGAUAUUAGAUAUUGGACAUAUGGAUACUAGAUACCAUGUUUACUUACUUUGAAUGUUGUAUGUUUACAUACUUUAUUGAGCAUGCUGGCUUCAUGUAGCAUACCUGUUUUUUAUUUAUAUAUAUAUGAUGACUACUGCAUUUUACGCAUCAUGUCAUUGCAUGCAUGCAGGCGACCACGUCUUACUUAUGGGGGAGUGAGUUGUCGGGUUGCGCCGUAUACUCGACCACUCAUGGGUAGUGGUAGCUG